rnacentral:rRNA from 1 species
UUAAAUUGAAGAGUUUGAUCAUGGCUCAGAUUGAACGCUGGCGGCAGGCCUAACACAUGCAAGUCGAGCGGAAACGAGUUAUCAGAACCUUCGG